rnacentral:tRNA from 1 species
AGUUAAGAAGCUUUAUGUUAAGCAUAUGUUUUGAAAACAUAAGAGAGAAGUUGAAUUC